rnacentral:rRNA from 1 species
GAUGAACGCUGGCGGCGUGCUUAACACAUGCAAGUCGAACGAACUAAGAGAGCUUGCUCUCUUGGUUAGUGGCGGACGGGUGAGUAACGCGUGGGUAACCUGCCCUAUGCAGGGGGAUAACGUUUGGAAACGAACGCUAAUACCGCAUAACAUAGAAGAACCGCAUGGUUUUUCUCUCAAAGAUUUAUCGGCAUAGGAUGGACCCGCGUUGGAUUAGCUAGUUGGUGAGAUAACAGCCCACCAAGGCGACGAUCCAUAGCCGGCCUGAGAGGGUGAACGGCCACACUGGGACUGAGACACGGCCCAGACUCCUACGGGAGGCUG